rnacentral:rRNA from 1 species
GACGAACGCUGGCGGCGUGCUUAACACAUGCAAGUCGAACGGAAAGGCCCUGCUUUUGUGGGGUGCUCGAGUGGCGAACGGUUGAGUAACACGUGAGUAACCUGCCCUUGCCUUUGGGGUAACUUCAGGAAACUGGGGCUAAUACCGGAUAGUAGCUCCUGCUGCAUGGUGGUGGUUGGAAAGUUUCGGCGGUUGGGGAUGGCAUCGCGGCUUAUCAGCUCGUUGGUGGGGUAGUGGCUUACCAAGGCUUGGACGGGUAGCCGGCCUGAGAGGGAGACCGGGCACAGAGGGACUGAGGGGCGGCCCGGAGUGCAACGUGAGGCAGGGGUGGGAGACUGUGCGAGAUGGGCGGAAGCAGGAUGGAGGGACGCCGGGUGGGAAAGCACGGUUGUCGGGGAGGAAAGGGCUUGAGACUGGGACGUAGAGAGGGUGACGGUAACGUGUAAAGAAGGAACGGCUAACUACGUG